UACAGAGGUCUCGAGCGUUAGGCGGAAUCACUGGGCUUAAAGCGUGUGUAGGCGGAUCGGUAAGUACCUUGUGAAAUCCCACAGCUUAACUGUGGAACUGCUUGGUAUACUGCCAGUCUUGAGCCAGCUAGGGGCUACCGGAACAAAUGGUCGGAGCGGUGAAAUGCGUAGAUAUCAUUUGGAACGCCAAUGGUGAAAACAGGUAGCUGGGGCUGUGGCUGACGCUGAGACACGAAAAGCCAGGGGAGCAAACGGG
rnacentral:rRNA from 1 species